rnacentral:rRNA from 1 species
GGGAUUGCCCUAGUAACGGCGAGUGAAGCGGCAACAGCUCAAAUUUGAAAUCUGGCGUCUUUGGCGUCCGAGUUGUAAUUUGCAGAGGGCGCUUUGGCAUUGGCAGCGGUCCAAGUUCCUUGGAACAGGACGUCACAGAGGGUGAGAAUCCCGUACGUGGUCGCUAGCCUUUACCGUGUAAAGCCCCUUCGACGAGUCGAGUUGUUUGGGAAUGCAGCUCUAAAUGGGAGGUAAAUUUCUUCUAAAGCUAAAUACUGGCCAGAGACCGAUAGCGCACAAGUAGAGUGAUCGAAAGAUGAAAAGCACUUUGGAAAGAGAGUUAAAAAGCACGUGAAAUUGUUGAAAGGGAAGCGCUUGCAGCCAGACUUGCCUGUAGUUGCUCAUCCGGGUUUUUACCCGGUGCACUCUUCUACGGGCAGGCCAGCAUCAGUUUGGGCGGUUGGAUAAAGGUCUCUGUCACGUACCUCCUCUCGGGGAGAUCUUAUAGGGGAGACGACAUGCAACCAGCCUGGACUGAGGUCCGCGCAUCUGCUAGGAUGCUGGCGUAAUGGCUGUAAGCGGCCCGUCUUGAAACACGGACCAAGGAGUCUAACAUCUAUGCGAGUGUUUGGGUGUCAAGCCCGAGCGCGUAAUGAAAGUGAACGGAGGUGGGAACCUUUCGGGGUGCACCAUCGACCGAUCCUGAUGUCUUCGGAUGGAUUUGAGUAAGAGCAUAGCUGUUGGGACCCGAAAGAUGGUGAACUAUGCUUGAAUAGGGUGAAGCCAGAGGAAACUCUGGUGGAGGCUCGCAGCGGUUCUGACGUGCAAAUCGAUCGUCAAAUUUGGGCAUAGGGGCGAAAGACUAAUCGAACUAUCUAGUAGCUGGUUCCUGCCGAAGUUUCCCUCAGGAUAGCAGUAACGUUUUCAGUUUUAUGAGGUAAAGCGAAUGAUUAGAGGCCUGGGGGUUGAAACAACCUU